CGAACGCUAGCGACAGGCUUAACACAUGCAAGCCGAGGGGCAGCAUAAAAGUAGCAAUACUUGGUCGGCGACCGGCGCACGGGUGAGUAACGCGUAUGCAACCUACCUAUCAGAGGGGAAUAACCCAGCGAAAGUCGGACUAAUACCGCAUAAAACAGGGGCACCGCAUGGUGAUAUUGUUAAAGAAAUUCGCUGAUAGAUGGGCAUGCGUUCCAUUAGGUAGUUGGUGAGGUAACGGCUCACCAAGCCGACGAUGGAUAGGGGAACUGAGAGGUUGGUCCCCCACACUGGUACUGAGACACGGACCAGACUCCUACGGGAGGCAGCAGUGAGGAAUAUUGGUCAAUGGGCGGGAGCCUGAACCAGCCAAGUCGCGUGGAAAAGGAAGAAGGAUCUAUGGUUCGUAAACUUCUUUUGCAGGGGAAUAAAGUGCAGGACGUGUCCUGUUUUGUAUGUACCCUGAGAAUAAGGAUCGGCUAACUCCGUGCCAGCAGCGGC
rnacentral:rRNA from 1 species